rnacentral:lncRNA from 1 species
AUGGACUGCUCAUCAGAAGAAACCCAUAGAUCAGAUAGUCCUUAUUGUUUGUAUAGGGGCCCUCGUACCCCGUCGCCGCUGUCUUCCCCCGCCAUGGACGACUCUGCGUCGAGCAAUGAGGACAUUGAAAACCAGAUGCCUGAUGGUAUGUCCAACGCUAGUACGCCUGUGUCUAACUAUGUCGAUAGUUGUGGAGAUGCGGUACUGCUUAAUGCUCCACUCAAAAGAACGAGGCCUGUUUUAGGCUUGAGAGACCGGAGUGCCGGGGAUUCAUUCACCCACGUUGGCGAAUACGGCUUGGAGUAUGUAAUAUCAUGGGUCGAUGGCUGUGUUAUUUUGAAAGUUAAAGAUUGUGCUACAGAGUGGCGGAUGAACGUUCACGAGUGGAAUUUUUUCUUGGAGAAUUUAUGCCCCAUGCUAGACGGCGACGAGGGUACAUGGCAUGGGGGACCCCAUGAAUACCGUUGGACCUUUCAGUAUGAUCCGAGGAUUCAACAUCGUUUGGCAUGCACCUUUCAGUAUGAAUCGAGGAUUCAUCGCAUGGAUGCAAACUAUCAUACGAAGAGACCACAGGAUUUCAUUUUUUUCAGACGCGGUGUUGAUACAGACGAGCUACCACAGUGCUAUGAUAUGCAUUGCAUCGGUAGCUCUCCUCUACGCGCCAGUGUUUUAGAAGCUGCUGAUUAUUUUGAUAAUGUCUUUUUCAUGCAGUGGGCUGAUCUGUCUGCACUACGUGGAAUUUUUGCAGAGAUUGAUUCUUUGGCUAAGACGAAUGAAGAACCAUGGAGCACAACUGAUGAUGAAUGCCGAAUGUGCCUGUUUGAGUCGUCUGGGUUUGAUGAUGGGGUACAUGCACAGGUCAAUGAUGAACAUGUUCAAGGUGGGGGUGUGGCUAUGGAGACUGCUGAUUUAAAGGCUGUGCAACCCGGACCCCACUGGCUUCAAGAGUAUGCCGUCUAUCUGACCGGAUUGAAUCUGACCUUCCUACACAUCGGAGAGGACAGUGAGCUGGAGGUGGACACUGCUGUGAGAGACGACGGAUGGCCUGUAUCAAUACAGAUCCGUUUAAACCCUGCAUCGCUGGCUGUUCUGCGAUUUACCACGGGGGUCUGUGUGGUGGCCAUCAUCAACCAUCAGAAGCAAGCGGACUGCUGGGGAUGCCAGUGUGAUUGCCCAAGUCAACGACGCCAUUCAUGCCUACAGGGAGCGACACAUCAUCACUACGAAUCCCACUACCAUGACAUUUGUGUCAUCCUGGACAGACACCCCUUCCUGUUACUUUUAGAAACUGUUCUAAAGAAGACUACAGGGUUGACUGUGUCCCCCGGAAAAAUCUAUGGUGUGGUCGAAUCUUAUCUAUGUGAUUUAAUAUGCAAUACCUAUAAUACCGAAAAACUGGAUUCAUUGACCACCGAAGGUGUGUCCGAUGAACAUCUGCUUCUGAUACAUGAAGCCAUACAAAUGUGGCGCCCUACAUUGUCAUUUUGCAAACCAAAGCCUGGUGGUGGUGGUGGGUGGCGUUUAUAAUGGGUGUGUUGUUUUCUUAUGUCUAUGAUGCGGAUAGCAAGAUUGUAUCAGAUAGACUAUCCGUUUUGAUGUAUGCUGCCAUAGAAAAUGAUACGUAUGUCCAACAUAAUGCAUAUAUCAAAUGUACGUAUAAGGGCUGGAAUGAUCUGGUCAUGAAAUUCUUGUGUGAUAAACCUACUGAUCAAAUGUUAGCUGAAGUAUUUACCCAUUUCCCCGAUGGUGACUGUUUUACCGUCGGACAUGUCAUGUGUAUAUGUGCUUUUGUAUCGGAUGUCUUGAAGUUGAAUAAUGCCUCAAACGCCGAGGGUAUUAGAACUGCUAGAAUGAUGGCUUGUAAAAUGGUGCAGAAAAAUAAAACUGCAUGUAGACUUUAUCUGAGAAUUGUUUUGAGUGGACAGACAUUUUAAAUAAAAGGAUGGAUAACUCUGAUCAGUGUUUCAGUAUUCGUUUUUUGUUGCAUGCAUACGACAUGGAUAAACGGCUGCAUAAGACUUAUUAUGAUCCCUCCGGACCAGGGGGUUACGGUGGCAUCAAUAAACUAAGAACGGCCCUCGCGCAUAGUGAGGGUGCAGUACCUCCACUAAAAUAUAUCAAGAAAUGGUUGCUGAAGCAGGAUCCCUACACCCUGCAUGUACCUGCACCGAUACAUUUCCGCCGAAAUAGAGUAUUGGUUAGUGGAAUAGAUAGACAGUUCCAGGCUGAUUUAGUGGAUAUGGCAGAGUAUGCAUCCGAAAAUGAUGGUGUGCAUUUUCUGUUGACGUGUAUCGAUGUAUUCUCGAAACAUGCAUGGGUUCGUCCGUUACCAUCCAAGAGGGCUAUCGACGUCGCUAAAGCUUUUGAUGAUAUUCUCGGUGAAGGGCGUACCCCCGAUAAACUGCAGACUGACGCUGGCAAAGAAUUUUAUAACAAGAUCUUUCAGCGUUUGAUGGAGCGGUACAAUGUCAAACAUUUCUCUACAUCUAACGAGACCAAGGCCAGUAUAGUGGAACGCUUCAACAGGACUCUGAAAACCCGCAUGUGGAGAUAUUUAACAGCUGCCAACUCCAAACGAUAUGUGGAUAAACUACAGGAUAUGGUCCAUGCUUAUAACCAUUCAUAUCAUAGAUCGAUAAAAAUGACCCCGGCCAGUGUUGAUAAAGAUAAUGAGAAAACAGUGUUUAAUACGCUAUACAAAACCACUCAAGAGCCGAUGGUGGUGUUUAGAUACGAUGUUGGUGACACGGUUAGAAUUUCAAAAGUCAGAGCUACAUUUCGAAAGGGGUAUGAGCAGACGUUUACAGAUGAAUAUUUUGUAAUAUCGCAGCGCAUUGCAAGGUGUCCUCCAGUCUAUAAGCUGCAAGACUAUGCAGGUGCCCCUGUCCAUGGAACAUUUUACGAGAAAGAGCUGCAAAAAGUUAUAGUGUCUAAAAACAAGGUGUAUAAAAUAGAAAAGAUUAUAGAUAGAAAAAGGGAGGGGUCUAAGAAUCUGCUAUAUGUCAAAUGGCUGGGGUGGCCGGAGGCAUUCAAUUCGUGGAUAGCUGAAAAGACACUAGUCGAUGCGUAAAGAGACAUACAAGAGACAUACAAUCCAUUAUAACCAGAGUGUACGAUGGAUAAGGAGGUGUCUGGGGGUUUCUAUGUGACUCUAGCGAGUAAUGCAUCGGCAGGGAUCUACCCGCAAAAUAAGAUAUGGAAUUUUAGAACUAAAUUAGCAAAAUCUAUACACACCAAGCAGCCCUAUGAAGUAGGCCUAAUUGAAGCUCAGUACCCAUGCAGCUGGCAUAGUUUUCCUACCGAGGACGCUACGAUGACCGUUCACGAUGGUAAAACAGGUCAUAGGACAUCAUGUCUAUUAGUUGGUGGGCUUUAUGAGAGUAUCGGAUCGUUAUUACUACAAAUCAACAAGACUUGGACCAAACAUAAUCCUGGCAGUAAAGUUAUACUACAUCAUGAAGGUAUUAGAAACCGCAUUUAUGUAGAAGGAGACGAUCACCUAUCUAUCGUCUUUAGAGGAAAACUGGCUGCUAUGCUGGGUUUCGAUACAGGUGUCAAACUACAUGCCCAUAAAUCGUAUGCAGCAUAUGCCCCCCAUCCCACCGAUAUUCACGGGGGGUGUUACAACAUGUUCAUAUAUAGCGACAUUGUCGACCAUCAGCUGGUCGGAGAUAGUUAUGUACCCCUG